rnacentral:rRNA from 1 species
UACGUAGGGUGCAGGCGUUAAUCGGAAUUACUGGGCGUAAAGCGUGCGCAGGCGGUUUCUUAAGUCAGAUGUGAAAGCCCCGGGCUUAACCUGGGAACUGCGUUUGAAACUGGGAGACUAGAGUGUGGCAGAGGGGGGCGGAAUUCCAGGUGUAGCGGUGAAAUGCGUAGAUAUCUGGAGGAACACCGGUGGCGAAGGCGGCAUCCUGGACCGGCAUUGACGCUGAGGCGCGAAAGCCAGGGGAGCAAACGGG